rnacentral:snRNA from 1 species
GGAUGUGAGGGUGAUCUGGCUGUGACAUGUCACCCAUUGAUCGGCAGGGUUGAUUUGGCUGAUCUGGCUGGCUAGGCAGGUGUCCCCUUCCUCCCUCACUGUUUCAUGUGCAUCCCUCUCGAAGCUGUACGCUCAGUCAAAGAGGACAGCCUUCCCCAAACAGAGAUGGACCCCUGCUAGAACC